rnacentral:rRNA from 1 species
UACGGAGGGUGCAAGCGUUAUCCGGAUUCACUGGGUUUAAAGGGUGCGUAGGCGGGUUGGUAAGUCCGUGGUGAAAUCUCCAAGCUUAAACUUGGAAACUGCCGUGGAUACUAUCAAUCUUGAAUAUCGUGGAGGUAAGCGGAAUAUGUCAUGUAGCGGUGAAAUGCUUAGAUAUGACAUAGAACACCAAUUGCGUAGGCAGCUUACUACACGAUCAUUGACGCUGAGGCACGAAAGCGUGGGGAGCAACAGG